rnacentral:lncRNA from 1 species
UCAUCUUCAUUUUAUUAUGAGAGAGUUAACUUGUGUCAACUUUGGUUUUCAUUGCAGGAGAAGUGGGGAAAGAACCUCUUAUCUUUCUUGCCUAUGCUAUGGGCGCACUGUAUCUUGAAAAAUUCGUGACCAAUUGUUGUAAACCUGACAAUGUAUCUUAUCUUCUCUUUUUCUUUGUUUCAUUGUCAAUUGUAAAAUCCAUG